CGAUGCCUCGGAGUCUACCGCCUACAGCGGCGACGACGACUAGUCCAAUAAUUAUCAUCUCGACGAGCGGAGGACCACGAAAAGAUGAAAAUCCCCUCCCCGGAAGACAUCAAAAACCAAUGG
ensembl:ncRNA T24H7.7 ncRNA